GUCAUUUCCAGGAGAAGUUGUCCAUUGAAGACUUCACACUGCAACUUCGCCAUUUUCACUGAGAUGGUCUCGGGGCAAUUUUAGCUUCAAUCGUCUUGGAGGAUUUACUGAUAAAGUUGGUAAGGUAACAAAGCUGUUGUACCGGUUUACGACUUACUGGUGGCAGAUACUUUAACGCAAGUGUCCGGAAGAUUUUGUUCUGCUUGUUGUGUCCUGCUUUCUUAAGAAGGUCGUAUUGAUGGUGUAGUUCUUCUUGGUUUUUGGAACCUUCAGAAGAAAACUUUCGAAACCAAACUAGACAAGAAACUCAAGACAGAUGAUGUGAGGUGGAGGCCUUUUAGUUCCACAGAGCUAUAAGUAUAGCUAAUAAAUGAAAUACCAGCCUGGAAAAAGAAGGAGUAUUAGAUUAGUGUUAUUAAUGGAUGGACUUUGUUCUAGGCAGUGUGUAUUAUUCUGUGCGCAAUUGUCCGUAAUUGUAAAUUAAAAACGAAACUAAUUACACUUGUCGUUUCUACC